rnacentral:rRNA from 1 species
CUCGUAGGCGGUUCGUCGCGUCCGGUGUGAAAGUCCAUCGCUUAACGGUGGAUCCGCGCCGGGUACGGGCGGGCUUGAGUGCGGUAGGGGAGACUGGAAUUCCCGGUGUAACGGUGGAGUGUGUAGAUAUCGGGAAGAACACCAAUGGCGAAGGCAGGUCUCUGGGCCGUCACUGACGCUGAGGAGCGAAAGCGUGGGGAGCGAACA